GGGGCACCACCGGGAGGGGAGCCUGCGUUUUAAUUUAACUCAACACGGAAAAACUCCCCGGGCCUGAACACUAGGGGGUUGGACAGACUGACUUUUUCUUUCUUGAGGGGGGGGUGGUGCGGCAUGGCCGUUCUUAGUUGGUGGAGAUUUUGUCUGGUGAAUUACGAUAACGAACGGGAUCGGGCCUACUAAAUAGGUGCCGGCUUACAAACACUGAUGAAACUUCUUAGAGGGACAGGCGGCGAUUCAGCCGCACAAAAAAAAACACCAACAAGUGUGGGAUGUCCUUGUUUGUCGGGGGCCGCCCGCUCCCUACACUGAAGUGAUCUGCGUGCCUUUCCAGCCUACUCUGCCAAGGAGGGGAACCCACUUAACCUUCUUCGUGGUUGGGGGAGGAGAUUGAGUCACCUCCUUUAAAAAAGAAUGGCGUGUAAGGGGGAGUCAUGCGCUAAGAUUGAUUACGUCCUGGCUUUUGUCAACCGCCGUCGUUCUACCGUUUUAUGGAAGUUGAGGCUCAAG
rnacentral:rRNA from 1 species